AGAUGUGAGGGUGAUCUGGCAGUGACAUUGGUCACUCCAUUGGUCACUAGUAUCAGUUUGACUGAUCUGACUGACUAGGCUGGUGUCCCUCUUCCUUCAUCACUCCUUGUGCUUCCCUUUGGAAGCUACCCACUUGCUCAGUCGAGGAAGACGACUUUCCCCAUUAGAGGAGGAUUGUUCUUCAGGCAAGGGGAUAGGAGUGGCUGUGUUCCCCUGCUAGAACCUCCAGACAACUCUCAGGGUGCACCUGUAGGAGAACUUAGUAGUCCAGCUUCCAAGCCUCCACCCAUAUGCAAAUAAGGAGCUGCAGGUUGCAGUCUGCCUUUCUUU
rnacentral:snRNA from 1 species